UGGGGAAUAUUGGACAAUGGGCGAAAGCCUGAUCCAGCCAUGCCGCGUGUGUGAAGAAGGUCUUCGGAUUGUAAAGCACUUUAAGUUGGGAGGAAGGGCAUUAACCUAAUACGUUAGUGUUUUGACGUUACCGACAGAAUAAGCACCGGCUAACUCUGUGCCAGCAGCCGCGGUAAUACAGAGGGUGCAAGCGUUAAUCGGAAUUACUGGGCGUAAAGCGCGCGUAGGUGGUUUGUUAAGUUGGAUGUGAAAUCCCCGGGCUCAACCUGGGAACUGCAUUCAAAACUGACUGACUAGAGUAUGGUAGAGGGUGGUGGAAUUUCCUGUGUAGCGGUGAAAUGCGUAGAUAUAGGAAGGAACACCAGUGGCGAAAGCGACCACCUGGACUAAUACUGACACUGAGGUGCGAAAGCGUGGGGAGCAAACA
rnacentral:rRNA from 1 species